AAGGGCAUACGGUGGAUGCCUAGGCGCCAAGAGCCGAAGAAGGACGCGGUAAGCUGCGAAAAGCCACGGGGAACUGCAAGCAAGUAUUGAUCCGUGGAUAUCCGAAUGGGGAAACCCGGCCAUCGUCAUGGAUGGUCACCCGCAAGGGAGGGAACCUGGGGAACUGAAACAUCUAAGUACCCGGAGGAAGAGAAAUCAAACGAGAUGCCCACAGUAGCGGCGAGCGAAGAGGGCAGAGCCCAAACCGAGAAGCUCCGGCUUUUCGGGGUUGAGGACCGGCAGAAUCGAAGUCAGGCCUAGUUGAAUUACCUGGAAAGGUAAGCGAGAGAGGGUAAAAGCCCCGUAGACGAAAGGCAGAGCAGAGAGGCCGAGAUCCAGAGUACCACGAAGCACGAGGAAUUUUGUGGGAAGCAGGGGGGACCACCCUCCAAGGCUAAAAACUACUUGGCGACCGAUAGCGCAUAGUACCGUGAGGGAAAGGUGAAAAGAACCCCUGGCGGGGAGUGAAAGAGAACCUGAAACCGUAUGUCUACAAACAGUCGAAGUCUGUAUAUAUAUCAGGACGACGGCGUGCCUAUUGAAGAAUGAACCGACGAGUUACUGUUGCUAGCGAGGUUAAGUGGAAAACAUGGAGCCGCAGCGAAAGCGAGUCUGAACAGGGCGUUCAGUUAGUGAUAGUAGACCCGAAACCGUAGUGAUCUAUCCAUGGCCAGGUUGAAGCACAGGUAAAAUUGUGUGGAGGACCGAACUCGUGAGCGUUGAAAAGCUUUGGGAUGAGUUGUGGAUAGGGGUGAAAUGCCAAUCGAACACGGAGAUAGCUGGUUCUCCCCGAAAUAGCUUUAGGGCUAGCCUCGAGGUAGAGAGUAUAGGCGGUAGAGCACUGAUCGGGCUAGGGGCCAUACCGGUUACCGAACCUAGUCAAACUACGAAUGGCUAUACUUAUACUCGGGAGUCAGACAGUGAAUGAUAAGGUCCAUUGUCAAGAGGGAAACAGCCCAGAACACCGACUAAGGUCCCCAAUGUUACACUAAGUGGCGAAGGAUGUGGAAUUUCCAAAACAACCAGGAUGUUGGCUUAGAAGCAGCCACCAUUUAAAGAGUGCGUAAUAGCUCACUGGUCGAGAGACUCUGCGCCGAAAAUGUCCGGGGCUAAAGUAUGAAACCGAAGUCGUGUCAUAUGCAGCAAUGUAUAUGGGUAGGGGAGCGUUCUCAUCGGAUUGAAGCAGUACCGUAAGGAGUUGUGGACUGGUGAGAAGUGAGAAUGUCGGUAUGAGUAGCGAAAAGAAUGGUGAGAAUCCAUUCCACCGAAAGCCUAAGGGUUCCUGAGCAACGAUCGUCGUCUCAGGGUAAGUCGGGACCUAAUCCGAGGCAGAGAGCGUAGGAGAUGGACAACUGGUUGAUAUUCCAGUACCGGUAGUAAUUGUUUGAGCAAUGGAGUGACACAGAAGGGCAGGCAAGCAUGCGAAUGGAAGAGCAUGUGUAAGCGUGUAGGGUGGUGCAUAGGCAAAUCCGUGCACUGAAAGCCUGAGGCGUGAUGCGGAGUGAGCAGAGAUGCGAGCGAAGUUGUUGACCCCACACUGUCGAGAAAAGCUUCUAGUGAGAGAGCUACCGCCCGUACCGUAAACCGACACAGGUAUGCGGGGAGAGAAUCCUAAGGUGCGCGGGAGAACCCUCGUUAAGGAACUCGGCAAAAUGCCUCCGUAACUUCGGGAAAAGGAGGACUCAUGUAGUGUGAAGAGCAGAAGCGUUUGGAGCAUGAAUGAGUGGCACAAGAGAGGCGCAAGCGACUGUUUACCACAAACACAGGUGCCUGCUAAAGCGAAAGCUGAUGUAUAGGUGCUGACACCUGCCCAGUGCCGGAAGGUUAAGGAAGGAUGUUCGGAGUAAUCCAAAGCAUUCGACUGAAGCCCCGGUGAACGGCGGCCGUAACUAUAACGGUCCUAAGGUAGCGAAAUUCCUUGUCGGGUAAG
rnacentral:rRNA from 1 species